rnacentral:misc_RNA from 1 species
UACGUAGGGGGCAAGCGUUGUCCGGAAUUAUUGGGCGUAAAGCGCGCGCAGGCGGUCUUUUAAGUUUGGUGUUUAAGCCCGAGGCUCAACCUCGGUUCGCACUGAAAACUGGGAGACUUGAGUGCAGGAGAGGAAAGCGGAAUUCCACGUGUAGCGGUGAAAUGCGUAGAGAUGUGGAGGAACACCAGUGGCGAAGGCGGCUUUCUGGACUGUAACUGACGCUGAGGCGCGAAAGCGUGGGGAGCAAACAGG